GAACACUUUACACCACUGACAAAUUUUAAACAUAUAAAGAGAUGUCAAUCUUGCUCUUUAGACAGAAAAACAAGGUGGGGAGUGGUGGCUCUUCAAAGGCUGUCAGUAGACAAGUCAGUCAAUUACAGAUCUGAUUUAGUUCUUAACUCCUUGAGGUAAAAGACAAAUGUUCUGCAAGAGUAACCAUUCCUGACAUGCAUUAAAUGAAACAACUUUUAAAAACUGUGUGAUCAUGAUAAUGCAGAUUGAGGUGAAGAGCUUUGAAAAGAGUUGAAAAAUCAGGAUCAGAUAUAUGAAUCCAGAUGACAAAUGGGUAAAUUGAAGCAGUUUUGCUAUUUGUGGGGAGUGGAAUGUCCCUACUAUUAGUCAUCAGAGAUUUAGGAAGGCAUUAUUGUGUGAUUUUUCAAAGCCAGGAACAGACUAAAUGAAUUCACAUCCCAGUUCUACCCCGACUGUGUGGCCUUGGCUAAGUUACUUAACCUCUCUGUACCUCUCUUUAUCUUUGAAAUGGGGAUGAUGGUUUCACUGAUCCCUUAGUGGUGGUGUACAAAUUUAAGUUAUUACCUAUAAAGCAAAAUCUGUAGGGUUUUCACUCAAUAUCAUAGUCAAUCCGUAUGCAGCAAUAACUUCCAUGAUUUAGAAAUAUAUAUGGCAUUAUAGAAUCCUUCCUGAAAUUUAAAAUAUUUACAGAUGAUAUUGGCAGUGAAUGUCUGCUGAUGACGCACAUCAUUUCCCUUUAAGCAGGGUUGCAAGUUUCUAUGGCCCCAGUGAACACUCCUGAAGUUAGAUAGAACUUAUUAACAUCUUCCAGAGCAUCCUCUUAAGAUGAUAAUUUAUCUUUUUAACUGUAUUCAGUAAAAGCAGCAGAAAAGAGCCAGGUGGGAAUAACAACCUGGUAUUAUAUAUAGCCAUAAAGUUUACCAGUUCUAUAGAUUCUGCUGCAAGGCACACUAAAAUGGAGUAAAAUGUAACUUAUCUUGAACAGUUGCUUGAAUGAGUUACUAGAGGAAUGGCAAGUUUACAGAUGAAGCAAAAGAAACCCAAGGGAGUUGAAGGUUGUGACCAUUUUAUUUAGGAUGCAUAGUUGUAAAACCUAACUUAAGGCAUACAAGAGUUAGGUCUUUGGAGAGUUUUCUCGGAGGUUUGCAAACAAAUAUGAAAGUCUAUAAAAUAUGUGCUUUUGAAAUAACUCUCUGUGAAACGAUGGUUUGAGGGUCCAUGGGGAGUGCCUUUAUACCUGUCAAACCCUAGUAAUUUGGUUGAAAAGAGAAUGCCUGGUUGUUUGCAUUUUCCCUGUCCCCAAAAGAUCUCCUUGGCCACUUUUUGUAUCUAUCCUCAGCUUGACUGCUGACAGAGUAUUCCAUGGAAUUCCUUUGUUCUGAAAGGGCAUCCUUUAGUUUCACACUAGUCUCAAGUUCACAUAACCAGGCAAUCCCAUACACCUUUCCAUCUGUUCAGGUUUUCCUGUGUAGGGUGCUGUUCUCAAACUCGUUUUAAAUAUGAAAUUGUCAUCCUUUACUGUUAGUAAAGGAUCCUUUUCUUUCCCUGUAAUGCUGAAGGUGUGAAUGGAAUUCUCCAGCGACAGUGUCUGUGAAGAAGAUAUUCAUGGACAACUACAUGGCUCAAAUAGAUAAAUUCAAUUAGCCCUUCCUGGAAAGCCUCAGUUUACUUUACAACUCAGUAUUUUAAAGAAUUUUAAAGAAAUUCUAAUUACUGCGUAAGAAAUAAGUCAAAUUCCUCUUCUCUCACUGCGAAGGGCUUUUAUUACCCACUGCUAUAAAACAUAUAUCUUUUUUUUUUUCUGUUGCUAUCCUAGCUGGGUAGCUUGCAUACCAAUAGGAUCACUAAAAUGCCACGAAGCAGAACAUAUUUAUCUGUUAAAUUCUACGUACAGUAACCUAACAAAUGCCAGAGACAGAAAGAUUGCCCUCUGCACAGUAAUACUUGUGUAGAUGUUUUCUUUAUGCUAACAAUGACAGGGCUUCAUGCCUUGUACUGUACUCAAAAAUCAGGGUGCAUUUUUUUUUUCAACAGAAGACUCCAUAUCAAAAAGAAAAAGAACUGCACAUUUUUGGCGUUGAGAUAUUUUAUGUGGAUAAUAAAUUUUUUUCCCUCGAACUCCACUAACAAGUAUCUACCUAGAAGAUGAAAUGUAAGAUUUAUGUCAUCAGAACUAUUCAGUAUACCAGAGGAUAAUUUUUUCUUCUUUUCAGGACUGUCAACUUUGUUUACUGUUUAUGUUCAAUUCUAUCCUAUAUAAGAGAUUAAAUUGCCUUGUCAUAGCCACAUGUCAAAGCCUUCUUAGAAAAAUAAGAUAAUACAUGCAAAAUUAUAUUAAUAAGGAGUACUUUCAAAGACAUAUUACAUUUAUUGAAAUCUAAAUUAUAACUGGAAUGUUCUAAUUAUAUUUGUACUAGUCAAAAAGAGAUUUUUAAAGUAUAUAAUGUUAUGACACCUUAGUAUGUUUUAAAAUUGAUGUGACUAAAGAAUGAUUAAAAUAUUAUAAGGAACUUCAAGGAGACACAUAUGAAGUAAUGUAAGCCCAGGAAUUGCUUACAUAAAUCACCAUGUAUGUUGUCAAAUCUGCUAGCCUGUUACAUGCAUUUUUAAUCCAAACUUAAUCAUUUGGCUAUUGAAAUCAUUCUAAAAAACUGAUCUCAAACAGUGUUAUACAAACAUCGGGGUUUUUAAAAGCCUUGCUACAUUUAAACUUUUUCAUAAUACAAUUUCAAUCUCAAAACAAUAAAUAAUCACAUGGAUAAUGACAGUAACUGAAUCCUAACUAAUUGUAAUACUUCUGCAUAGCCUAGUAACAAUUUAAAAAUGGUGAAGAAUAAAUCUGUUUGACAGGCCUGUUAGCAAUAAGGCCUUCAGCUUUUUGCUUUGCAGCAAAAUGAAGUAAAAUCUAUGAUUUUAUUGCUGUUGUUAGAAACAUUUCGACAGUUAGUUAUUUUUCACAGAAAAUGCUGCAGGAGGGACUCUCCAGGUUGGAAAAAAAAAAAAAAAAAAUCUUAACACGGUUGAAUUUUACACUUGGCUAUUAUUGGCCAGCAUAUAUAAUAAGUUAAAACAUACUGAGAAAUUAAUAUUUUUCUAAGAGGGAAAACUUGAUAGAGGAUUAUAUUUCUACAUUACAGAGUGGAUACUCUAAUCUUUCUGGCAUUGUAAAACUGAAGCUGGCUGCAGGGAAAAUAAACAUUAUAAUAACCGGCACUUAAACAAUUGUACCUAUAUGGCUAAGUAACAAAAGCGUGAGGCACCUGGAAUCACAGUAUUUGUGCCUAAUGCCAGCAACAAUAUAAAGCAUUCAAGUGACAUUUGAUAAUGAGCAGACAGUGGAGGCAUUACACACGUCUUUAGAAGAAUCAGACUUCCUACCUUGAAAAGGCAGAUGGAGAUUCUAAGAUGAACGUCAAGGAGGAAAAUAAUCCUUUUGAAAAACUCUGGCGUCUGCAAGCCAUUCCUAAAGAAAGCUAGAAAGCCAAGUGACUUAUGCGAAGAAGGUAUCUACCUGAACUCUGAACCCUAAAAAAUAGGUCUCCAUAACACCUGCUAUCACUCAAGAAAUACAGAACACAUACUCACCUGAAUCAGCUCCUUAUGUCCUGUGGUCUCUGAGAUAAGAAAGACUUCCUGCUUCCCUGUAGUCUACUUCCACCACAGAAACUAGAAAAAGCCAGCUAAACAACAAGUUAGAUGUCAUUCUUCUGCUGAAAACCCUCUGUAGUGAGUUGAAUUGUCCCGACCACCCCAGAAGAUAUCCAGAUCCUCUGGAAUCUGUGAAUGUGACCUUAUUUGAAAAAAAAAAAAAAAUCUUUGAAGAUGUAAUUAAGGAUCUUAAGAUGAGAUCAUCUUGUAUUACCCAGAUGGGCUCUAAAUCCAGUGACAAGUGCCCUUAUAAGGUACAGAAGGAGAGGAUGCAGUGACACUGAGGAGAAGGCCACCAGAACACUGAGGCAGAGAUUGGAGUGACAUAGUCCCAAGCCAAGAAAUGCCUGGAGCCAUGGGAAGCCAAUUAAGGUAAGGAGGAAAUCUCCCUUAAAGUCCUUGGAGGCAGCACAAGUCUACUAACAUCUUGAGUUUGGACUUCUGCCCUCCAGAAGAACUAUGGGAGAAUACAUUUCAGUGGUUUUAAGUCAUUUACUUUAAGAAUCUGUUAUGGCAGCUCCAGGAAACGAAUACAUCUUCCAAAGGUUUCUUAUCUCUUUCAGAGUAAAACAUAACCGCUGAAGUCCUAACAUUGGCUCACAAGGCCAUGCCUGGACUCCCUGCCCCUACAUCUGACCUAUCUGACACCAUAUGGAGCACUCUCCCUACUCUCAGCGUGUGAGCGUCUCUGAUCUUCUUACUGUUCCUCCAUCCCAUAAAGUAUACUGCCUUCUCAGGGUCUUUGUGUUUAUUGUUCCUUCUGCCUUGCAUGGUCUUCCCCUGGAUAUUCCACCUGUCUGACUCUUUCAGAAUUUUCCCCAAAAAUGUCUUUCACGUAGUGAAGACCCCCUGAACACCCCAUUAAAAUUCCACCCAUUGUCCACUAACUUCCAUCCUUUGCCCAGCCCUCUCCAUCUUCUCUGCCUUACCUCUCUUUACAAACCUCAUCACCUUUGACCCAAUAUAUGUUCUAUUUAUUCAUUUAUUUGUUUAGUGUCUUCCCAACUAAAAUCUGAGCUCCAUGAGAGAGAGAUCUUUGACUUUUCCUCACUACUUUAUAUGCAGCG